rnacentral:rRNA from 1 species
UACGAAGGGGGCUAGCGUUGCUCGGAAUCACUGGGCGUAAAGCGCACGUAGGCGGCUUUCUAAGUCAGGGGUGAAAUCCUGGAGCUCAACUCCAGAACUGCCUUUGAUACUGGAGAGCUUGAGUCCGGAAGAGGUGAGUGGAACUCCGAGUGUAGAGGUGAAAUUCGUAGAUAUUCGGAAGAACACCAGUGGCGAAGGCGGCUCACUGGUCCGGUACUGACGCUGAUGUGCGAAAGCGUGGGGAGCCAACAGGG